UACGUAGGGUCCGAGCGUUGUCCGGAAUUAUUGGGCGUAAAGGGCUCGUAGGCGGUUCGUCACGUCGGGAGUGAAAACUCGGAGCUUAACUCCGAGCCUGCUUCCGAUACGGGCAGACUAGAGGUAGGCAGGGGAGAGCGGAACUCCUGGUGUAGCGGUGGAAUGCGCAGAUAUCAGGAAGAACACCAGUGGCGAAGGCGGCUCUCUGGGCCUUACCUGACGCUGAGGAGCGAAAGCGUGGGGAGCGAACAGG
rnacentral:rRNA from 1 species